rnacentral:tRNA from 1 species
GCCGGGGUAGCUCAGCUGGUCAGAGCGCCAGACUCAUAAUCUGGAGGCCGAGGGUUCAAACCCCUCCCCCGGCA